rnacentral:rRNA from 1 species
UGCCAGCAGCCGCGGUAAGACGAACUGCGCGAACGUCAUUCGGGAAUCACUGGGCUUAAAGAGGUCGUAGGCGGCUUGGUCAGUCAGAUGUGAAAUCCCACAGCCCAACUGUGGAACUGCGUUUGAUACUGCCAAGCUUGAGGGAGUUAGAGGAAAGCGGAACUGAUGGUGGAGCGGUGAAAUGCGUUGAUAUCAUCAGGAACACCGGUGGCGAAAGCGGCUUUCUGGAGCUCUUCUGACGCUGAGGAACGAAAGCUAGGGGAGCGAACGGGAUUAGAUA